rnacentral:rRNA from 1 species
AUUGAACGCUGGCGGCAGGCCUAACACAUGCAAGUCGAGCGGAUGAAGGGAGCUUGCUCCUGGAUUCAGCGGCGGACGGUUGAGUAAUGCCUAGGAAUCUGCCUGGUAGUUGGGGAUAACGUCCGGAAACGGGCGCUAAUACCGCAUACGUCCUGAGGGAGAAAGUGGGGGAUCUUCGGACCUCACGCUAUCAGAUGAGCCUAGGUCGGAUUAGCUAGUUGGUGGGGUAAAGGCCUACCAAGGCGACGAUCCGUAACUGGUCUGAGAGGAUGAUCAGUCACACUGGAACUGAGACACGGUCCAGACUCCUACGGGAGGACGCAGUGGGGAAUAUUGGACAAUGGGGGAAAGCCUGAUCCAGCCAUGCCGCGUGUGUGAAGAAGGUCUUCGGAUUGUAAAGCACUUUAAGUUGGGAGGAAGUGCAGUAAGUUAAUACCUUGCUGUUUUGACGUUACCAACAGAAUAAGCACCGGCUAACUUCGUG